UACGUAGGGUGCGAGCGUUUAAUCGGAAUUACUGGGCGUAAAGCGUGCGCAGGCGGUUUUGUAAGCCAGAUGUGAAAUCCCCGGGCUUAACCUGGGAAUGGCAUUUGGGACUGCAAGGCUGGAGUUUGGCAGAGGAGACUGGAAUUCCUGGUGUAGCAGUGAAAUGCGCAGAUAUCAGGAGGAACACCGAUGGCGAAGGCAGGUCUCUGGGCAUUAACUGACGCUGAGGAGCGAAAGCAUGGGGGAGCGAACAGG
rnacentral:rRNA from 1 species